rfam:Gossypium arboreum cultivar AKA8401 contig_7448_7, whole genome shotgun sequence.
UGUUAAAAAUUUCAUCUAUUUAUACUGUUAAAACUAACGUGAUUGGCGAAACAACCAAAUAGUUACACGUGACAUGCUAUUUAUACCUCAUACUGACGUAUAGAAUCAAUUUUUAACAAUAGAAAUUGAUGAGAUUUUUAACA